rfam:Basidiobolus meristosporus CBS 931.73 K493scaffold_466, whole genome shotgun sequence.
CACUCUCGCUUCUUCUUCAAUCAGUCGGAUAAAUCUUUCGCCUUUUACUAAAGAUUUCCGUGGAGGAGGAGCAUUUACGAGAGUUGAGGAAUUUUUCACUCGCUGCUCCUUGUGAGUGGCA